CCGCCUCCUGUCGCACUCGGUUUGGUCAUGCCACCGGAUCCGCGCACCAUCAGACAGCGUUGUAACUGCGGUGGAUGCUCCAAGUUGUUGCCCUUCGACUUUUCAAACUGGUAUUUUCAAAACUGCAGCUCUUUGCGCCAGAAGUACGAGUUAGUUGUACAGAAGUGACAACACUGUUGCUCGCCAUCUCUACAAUUCAGAUAAAAAUGAACAGAAA